rnacentral:rRNA from 1 species
CACAAUGGGGGAAACCCUGCAUGCAGCUAUACCCGCGUGUGUGAUGAAGGUCUUAGGAUUGUAAAACACUUUCAGCAAGGGAAAAAAUUAAUAUAAAUAAUACUUAUAUUAACUGAUAUUACCUGCAAAAGAAGUACCGGCUAACUCCGUGCCAGCAGCCGCGGUAAUACGGAGGGUACAAGCGUUAAUCGGAAUUAUUGGGCGUAAAGAGUACGUAGGUGGUAUAUUAAGUCAGAUGCGAAAUACUUAAGCUUAACUUAAGAACUGCAUUUGAAACUAAUAAACUAGAGUUUUAUAGAGGGGAGUAGAAUUCCAAGUGUAGCGGUGAAAUGCGUAGAUAUUUGGAGGAAUACCAGAGGCGAAGGCGACUCCCUGGGUAAUAACUGACACUGAGGUACGAAAGCUUGGGGAGCAAACAGGAUUAGAUACCCUGGUAGUCCAUGCUGUAAACGAUGUCAAUUUGAAGAUUGUAAUAUUAUUAUUUUUUAUAAUUUUCGUAGCUAACGCAUUAAAUUGACCGCCUGGGGAUUACGACCGCAAGGUUAAAACUCAAAUGAAUUGACGGGGACCCGCACAAGCGGUGGAGCAUGUGGUUUAAUUCGAAUACCACGGCGAAAAACUUACCUACUCUUGACAUCUAAUAAGUUAAAUAAAAGGCAGAAAAU